rnacentral:lncRNA from 7 species
AAAGUAGUUUCAAAAUUGCUUUACUGUGCAGAAGGGAACAAGGACCCUGUCCACAGCCAUUUCCAAAGCUGCUUAUGCUGUGCUAUGUUUUGUCAGAGCUUUUGUGUCCCAGGCGUAAUGGAGGUCCCAGCUCAUCCUUUUACCAAAAAAUGGGUGCUUCAGGCAAGAGAAGUGUUCUCCUGUGUCUUGCCUCAUACUGCCACCACCAGAGCUAUGAGAGUAUGAUGCUUCCAUGGGGAGGAGAUGGCAGGACAAUCUAUUCCUGCCAAGACCAUUCAAUGAUCUCUGAUUUUUGGCAGUUAUACCAGCUACGGAAUCCCCAUGGAUACAGGCAGAUUUUUACUUCUGGAUGCUGACUACCAUGUUCAUAGUGAUGUCUCUUACCAUUCUCCAACAUGAUCCAGGAGAAGGAAAUGUACUUCUGAGACUUCCUGUAGUGCAUCUUGCAUAGGUGUCCCUUCAGAUACUUGGCUGAGGAGAGCAGCCACCCUUGGACUCACCUCUGAUCAUUUCUUCAUACCCUGGUCAUUUAUUUAUGCCUUAUUGUGGAUAGAGGUCAGUGCUCAGCACUUCCUGGUUUCCUGAAGCCUUUGGUACUCAGCAAGUAACUCUGUCUCACCUAGCACGGCCUGUGUUUAACCAGGAAUGUAUCUCUAGGAAUUGGUAGUCCUAUCUGGUCCCCAGACCUGGAUUUCAGAGGUGCAAAGUACUUGCAGAUUCAGUUAACUUUGUUUGGAGCUGCUACAGUUCAAGAGCUUAGCCGUCAGGUUCCUGAUAAAUAACCCAGUGCAGCCAGCCAAAUCUGAGCUUACAUUCAUCAGCCGAGUUAAAGGCAUUAGUCAUAUUGACACCAGAUGAGAAUCUGGCCCUAAAAUAUUUGUAAGGCAAAGAACGGAAAACAUGGGAAGCUUUCAUAGAUAUUCUGUUUAAUGUUUUGUAAACCUUCCUGGUAUGUUGCUAGGGGAAUUUUAAUACAUCAGUGCAUUUAAAGUAGAUCUCAGCGAGGUGUUUGAAAUCGGAUCCAAUUCUUCCCCCACCCUGAACUUCCUUAUUGUCACCAUUUCAGCUCUCUCCUGCCUGGUAAAGACCCUUCUGCUGACCCACUUCCUGCCUGUGUAGCAGUACCAGGAACUGCACAAGGAAUCCUUGUUUUACUUCACUUUAGACGCUGACAACGCAUUUUGCAGCUAGCUGGGCUUCAUCUGGGAGAGUACAGCUCUUGUGUUUCCUGAUGUGAGUCAGUUGUGAGGAAAGCGUUUAACCUUUUGUCAAAGGUUAAACAUAUAAAAGGGGAAUGUGAAGCUCUUGUAUUCCUGUUAUUGCCACAUUAAAGAGAGCAGCUUCCAUGGCUGAGCUAAAU